rnacentral:rRNA from 1 species
CCCUUAGAUGUUCUGGGCCGCACACGCGCUACACUGAAGGAGGCAGCGUGUACUCCUGGAUCGAAAGAUUUGGGUAACCCGCGAAUCUCCUUCGUGCUAGGGAUUGAGGUUUGCAAUUAUCCUUCAUGAACGAGGAAUUCCCAGUAAGUGCAAGUCAUAAGCUUGCGCUGACUACGUCCCUGCCCUUUGUACACACCGCCCGUCGCUACUACCGAUUGAAUGAUCCGGUGAAGCGUUCGGACCGUGGCCUUUGGACGGUUCGCCGUCUGUUGGCUGCGGGAAGUUCGUUAAACCUUAUCAUUUAGAGGAAGGAGAAGUCGUAACA